rnacentral:rRNA from 1 species
CACCUACGGGGGGCAGCAGUGGGGGAUAUUGCACAAUGGGGGGAACCCUGAUGCAGCGACGCCGCGUGGGUGAAGGAGCGUUUCGGCGCGUAAAGCCCUAUCGGCAGGGAAGAAGAUGACGGUACCUGACUAAGAAGCCCCGGCUAACUACGUGCCAGCAGCCGCGGUAAUACGUAGGGGGCAAGCGUUAUCCGGAUUUACUGGGUGUAAAGGGAGCGUAGACGGCGUAUCAAGUCUGAUGUGAAAGGCAGGGGCUCAACCCCUGGACUGCAUUGGAAACUGGUAUGCUUGAGUGCCGGAGGGGG